AAGCCAGUCAUUGAAUCUGCUUACCUGAUUUUGUUUCUGCAGAAAUGGUUUUUAGAUGGCAAUAGCAAUGCCAUGUUAUGAGCCUUAAUGAUAUUAGGGUCAUUAAGGUCCCUGAAAAUGGCUAUGUGA
ensembl:snoRNA